rnacentral:misc_RNA from 1 species
CAAAAGCUUUAAGGAAAGCUCUUUGUUUUUUGAAAUGAUGCUUUUAUGAGAUAGAGCUUUUUUAGAUAAUGCUUUUUUAGAUAAUGCUGGGGAAGGUUUUCCGGUUUAUCUCGGAGGGCUUGUAGCUCAGUUGGUUAGAGCGCGCGCUUGAUAAGCGUGAGGUCGGAGGUUCAAGUCCUCCCAGGCCCACCAAUUUACCUAUCCAUUUUCCUUUAUCCGUUUAUUUGCCGAUUUAUCGGUCUAUUGAAUUUAAGUGUUGGUAGCAGUUUUUAUAAUGAUGAGAAAUCAUGCUUAUAAAAAAACUCCUUAUAAAAGGCUUGUUUUUAAAAUGUGACGCUUAUCCAUUUCGCUUAGGCAAGAGAAACUUCAAGCGGUUCAAAUGCAAAAGGCUUUAAAUUUUGCAAAACACUUUGAAUUUUAAAGUGAUCCAAGUUCGUGAUCUCGAAUUUAAAAGUUUCGAAUGCUUUAUCCUUUUUUGGGGGCCGUAGCUCAGCUGGGAGAGCACCUGCUUUGCAAGCAGGGGGU